rnacentral:RNase_MRP_RNA from 1 species
GUCGCUUGGUUGAGACUCUGGGGAAAUUCCCCGGACGCAACGGCUGAGAGAGCCAACCGGAAACGGUAACUGGGCCGGGUCGGUACGCAUUUGGCGAAGACGGACAGUCUGACUUUCCGGAGCCUAGCAAACCACCUGGUUCCACUUCGUCCUAUCAAAGUUAUGCCACUCAGAGGCUUCGUCGCUUUCGGGCGCGACCUUGAAACAUAACGGGGAUUACUCUU